rnacentral:rRNA from 1 species
UGCAAGUCGAACGAUUAAAGCUCUCUUCGGAGAGUGCAUAAAGUGGCGCACGGGUGAGUAACACGUAAGUAAUCUACCCUCGGGUGGGGAAUAACGUCCGGAAACGGACGCUAAUACCGCAUAAUGCAGCGGCACCAUAUGGUGACAGUUGUUAAAGGAGAAAUUCGCCUGGGGAGGAGCUUGCGGCAGAUUAGCUUGUUGGUAGGGUAACGGCCUACCAAGGCGACGAUCUGUAGCCGGUCUAAGAGGACGGUCGGUCACACUGACACUGAAUAACGGGUCAGACUCCUACGGGAGGCAGCAGUCGGGAAUUCUGGGCAAUGGGCGAAAGCCUGACCCAGCAACGCCGCGUGAAGGAUGAAGUAUUUCGGUAUGUAAACUUCGUAAGAAUGGGAAGAAACAAAUGACGGUACCAGGUGUAAGCCCCGGCUAACUACGUGCCAGCAGCCGCGGUAAUACGUAGGGGGCAAGCGUUGUUCGGAUUUACUGGGCGUAAAGGGCGCGUAGGCGGCGGGACAAGUCACUUGUGAAAUCUCUGAGCUUAACUCAGAACGGCCAAGUGAUACUGUCUUGCUAGAGUGCAGAAGGGGCAAUCGGAAUUCUUGGUGUAGCGGUGAAAUGCGUAGAUAUCAAGAGGAACACCUGAGGCGAAGGCGGGUUGCUAGGCUGACACUGACGCUGAGGCGCGAAAGCUAGGGGA